UACGUAGGGUGCAAGCGUUGUCCGGAAUCAUUGGGCGUAAAGAGCGUGUAGGCGGCCAGAUAAGUCCGCUGUGAAAUCUCGAGGCUCAACUUCGAGCUGUCGGUGGAAACUGUCUGGCUAGAGUCCGGAAGAGGAGAAUGGAAUUCCUGGUGUAGCGGUGAAAUGCGCAGAUAUCAGGAAGAACACCCGUGGCGAAGGCGGUUCUCUGGGACGGUACUGACGCUGAGACGCGAAGGCCAGGGGAGCAAACGGG
rnacentral:rRNA from 1 species